rnacentral:rRNA from 1 species
UAGUCAUAUGCUUGUCUCAAAGAUUAAGCCAUGCAUGUCUAAGUAUAAGCAAUUAUACAGCGAAACUGCGAAUGGCUCAUUAAAUCAGUUAUCGUUUAUUUGAUAGUACCUUACUACUUGGAUAACCGUGGUAAUUCUAGAGCUAAUACAUGCUAAAAACCCCGACUCACGAAGGGGUGUAUUUAUUAGAUUAAAAGCCAAUGCCCUUCGGGGCUCACUGGUGAUUCAUAAUAACUUGUCGAAUCGCAUGGCCUUGCGCCGGCGAUGGUUCAUUCAAAUUUCUGCCCUAUCAACUUUCGACGGCUGGGCCUUGGCCAGCCAUGGUGACAACGGGUAACGGAGGGUUAGGGCUCGACCCCGGAGAACGAGCCUGAGAAACGGCUAUUACGUCCAAGGAAGGCAGCAGGCGCGCAAAUUACCCAAUACCGACUCGGUGAGGUAGUGUCGAUAAAUACUGAUACAGGGCUCUUUUGGGUCUUGUAAUUGGAAUGAGUACAAUUUAAAUCCCUUAACAAGGAACAAUUGGGGGGCAAGUCUGGUGCCAGCAGCC